GGAAGCGUGCCCGAAAGNUUAGGGAC
rnacentral:tRNA from 1 species